UUCUGCUCUGCCAGCUGGUGUUCCAAAGCUUAGUUAUCACUUUGCAUCAUCUCACAAGUACGUUCCCAGGCGAGCUGUGCUGUAUGUACCUGCAGAUGAUGAAAAGAAGAUACGAAAAAUCCCUUCCCUACAUGUAGACUGUGCGGUGCUGGACUGCGAAGACGGUGUGGCUCUCAACAGAAAGAGAGAAGCAAGGCUGA